GGCCUGAUAGCUCAGAGGAACGAGUGGCGCUUUCCGGUGGCGCAGGUCCCGGGUUCGACCCCCGGUCGGGUCU
rnacentral:tRNA from 1 species